rnacentral:rRNA from 1 species
UACAGAGGUCCCGAGCGUUGUUCGGAUUCACUGGGCGUAAAGGGUGCGUAGGUGGUUGUGCAAGUCUGAUGUGAAAUCUCCGGGCUCAACCCGGAAAUGGCAUUGGAAACUGCAUGGCUAGAGGGUUGGAGGGGGGACUGGAAUACUUGGUGUAGCAGUGAAAUGCGUAGAUAUCAAGUGGAACACCAGUGGCGAAGGCGAGUCCCUGGACAACACCUGACACUGAGGCACGAAAGCUAGGGGAGCAAACAGG